rnacentral:rRNA from 1 species
GAUGAACGCUAGCGGCAGGCUUAAUACAUGCAAGUCGUGGGGCAGCAGGUCUGUAGCAAUACAGAUGCUGGCGACCGGCAAACGGGUGCGGAACACGUACACAACCUUCCUUUAAGUGGGGAAUAGCCCAGAGAAAUUUGGAUUAAUACCCCGUAACAUAAUGAAGUGGCAUCCCUUUAUUAUUAUAGCUCCGGCGCGUAAAGAUGGGUGUGCGGCUGAUUAGAUAGUUGGCGGGGUAACGGCCCACCAAGUCGACGAUCAGUAACUGGUGUGAGAGCACGACCAGUCACACGGGCACUGAGACACGGGCCCGACUCCUACGGGAGGCAGCAGUAAGGAAUAUUGGUCAAUGGACGCAAGUCUGAACCAGCCAUGCCGCGUGGAGGAUGAAGGUCCUAUGGAUUGUAAACUUCGUUUAUAGUAGAAUAAAGUGAUCCACGUGUGGAUUUUUGUAUGUAUGCUAUGAAUAAGGAUCGGCUAACUCCGUGCCAGCAGCCGCCGUAAUAC